rnacentral:lncRNA from 1 species
CUCCAUCAUCUAGAACCGGGCGCUUCCUAACCUAACUCUGCCCCUGCAUCGUUGCCGGCUCCUGAACUGCUAUAGCGCCUCGCUUCUUCCGAAGUGCCUGCUGCACCGAUACUCCUGAAUCAACACCGUACCGCUGAGUAACAAUCUCGCACAUCCUCUGCAAAAUUACAUCCUGCUGCCUGAUCAUCUCAGUCAGAGCAGUCAACUGCUCUCUCAGAUCCGG